GCCGAAAUAGCUCAUUUGGGAGAGCGUUAGACUGAAGAUCUGAAGGUCCCUGGUUCGAUCCUGGGUUUCGGCA
rnacentral:tRNA from 1 species